rnacentral:rRNA from 1 species
CCUACGGGAGGCAGCAGUAGGGAAUCUUCCGCAAUGGACGAAAGUCUGACGGAGCAACGCCGCGUGAACGAUGAAGGCCUUCGGGUCGUAAAGUUCUGUUGUUAGGGAAGAACAAGUGCUAGUUGAAUAAGCUGGCACCUUGACGGUACCUAACCAGAAAGCCACGGCUAACUACGUGCCAGCAGCCGCGGUAAUACGUAGGUGGCAAGCGUUGUCCGGAAUUAUUGGGCGUAAAGCGCGCGCAGGCGGUUUCUUAAGUCUGAUGUGAAAGCCCCCGGCUCAACCGGGGAGGGUCAUUGGAAACUGGGAAACUUGAGUGCAGAAGAGGAAAGUGGAAUUCCAAGUGUAGCGGUGAAAUGCGUAGAGAUUUGGAGGAACACCAGUGGCGAAGGCGACUUUCUGGUCUGUAACUGACGCUGAGGCGCGAAAGCGUGGGGAGCAAACAGGAUUAGAUACCCUGGUAGUCCACGCUGUAAAACGAUGAGUGNUAGUAGUUAGUAGGGUUACGGUCCCGUUACGUUGUCUGAAGUUAAACGUUAAUUAAAGUACACUCCGUCCGUCGGGGUAGGGUACGGGUACGGUCGAACGAACGUAGUAAACGUUAAAAGGUUAAAAGUUUAAGUUAACGGGUUCGUGGUUAGGAACGUAGCCGAACCGGGACCGGAACCGAACCGAACGGGGGAAGGGGUUAAGGGGAGG